rnacentral:tRNA from 3 species
GGUGAAAUGGCUGAGAUUUCAGGCAAUAAACUGUAAAUUUAUUUAGGAAAAUUAUUUUCUUUCACCA